CACGGUAGGGCGCGAGCGUUGUCCGGAAUUAUUGGGCGUAAAGAGCUCGUAGGCGGCCUGUUGCGUCCGCUGUGAAAGCCCGGGGCUUAACCCCGGGUCGGCAGUGGAUACGGGCAGGCUAGAGGUAGGUAGGGGAGAAUGGAAUUCCCGGUGUAGCGGUGAAAUGCGCAGAUAUCGGGAGGAACACCGGUGGCGAAGGCAGCCCCCUGGGCUGACACUGACGCUCAGGCACGAAAAGCGUGGGGAGCAAACAGG
rnacentral:rRNA from 1 species